AUGGCCUGGGCCCCUCGCUCCUCACGCUGCUCACUUACUGCACUGGGUCCUUGGCCCAGUUUGUGCUGACUCAGCCGCCCUCAGUAUCAGCGUCUCCUGGCAACGGUUACGAUCUCCUGUGCCAGGAGCAGCGGCAGCAUCAGUAGCUACUAUGUCUCCUGGUAUCAGCAGACCCCUGGCCGUGCUCCAGUACUGAUUAUAUAUGAGGAUAGCAAGCGGCCCUCAGGGAUUCCAAGUCGAUUCUCUGGUGCCAUUGACAGCUCUGCCAAUGCUGCCACUCUAACCAUCUCUGGGCUCCAAGCCGACGAUGAGGCUGAUUAUUAUUGUGCUUCAUAGAUGGCAGCUA